rnacentral:rRNA from 1 species
AAAAAAGGUAAGCUACUAAGAGCGAAUGGUGGAUGCCUUGACUGGUAAAGGCGAUGAAGGACGUACUAGACUGCGAUAAGCUACGGGGAGCUGUCAAGAAGCUUUGAUCCGUAGAUUUCCGAAUGGGGCAACCCAAUGUAUAGAGAUAUACAUUACCUAUAUAGGAGCGAACGAGGGGAAUUGAAACAUCUUAGUACCCUCAGGAAAAGAAAUCAAUAGAGAUUGCGUCAGUAGCGGCGAGCGAAAGCGCAAGAGGGCAAACCCAGUGCUUGCACUGGGGGUUGUAGGACUGCAAUGUGCAAGAGGUAAGUUUAGCAGAACAUUCUGGAAAGUAUAACCAUAGAGGGUGAUAGUCCCGUAUGCGAAAAACAAACCUUAGCUAGCAGUAUCCUGAGUAGGGCGGGACACGAGGAAUCCUGUCUGAAUCCGGGUCGACCACGAUCCAACCCUAAAUACUAAUACCAGAUCGAUAGUGCACAAGUACCGUGAGGGAAAGGUGAAAAGAACUGAGGUGAUCAGAGUGAAAUAGAACCUGAAACCAUUUGCUUACAAUCAUUCAGAGCCCUAUGUAGCAAUACAGGGUGAUGGACUGCCUUUUGCAUAAUGAGCCUGCGAGUUGUGGUGUCUGGCAAGGUUAAGCAAACGCGAAGCCGUAGCGAAAGCGAGUCUGAAUAGGGCGCUUAGUCAGAUGCUGCAGACCCGAAACGAAGUGAUCUAUCCAUGAGCAAGUUGAAGCUAGUGUAAGAACUAGUGGAGGACUGAACCCAUAGGCGUUGAAAAGCCCCGGGAUGACUUGUGGAUAGGGGUGAAAGGCCAAUCAAACUUCGUGAUAGCUGGUUCUCUCCGAAAUAUAUUUAGGUAUAGCGUUGUGUCGUAAUAUAAGGGGGUAGAGCACUGAAUGGGCUAGGGCAUACACCAAUGUACCAAACCCUAUCAAACUCCGAAUACCUUAUAUGUAAUCACAGCAGUCAGGCGGCGAGUGAUAAAAUCCGUCGUCAAGAGGGAAACAACCCAGACUACCAGCUAAGGUCCCUAAAUCUUACUUAAGUGGAAAACGAUGUGAAGUUACUUAAACAACCAGGAGGUUGGCUUAGAAGCAGCCAUCCUUUAAAGAAAGCGUAAUAGCUCACUGGUCUAGUGAUUUUGCGCGGAAAAUAUAACGGGGCUAAAGUAAGUACCGAAGCUGUAGACUUGCACACAACUUAGAUUAUUUAAGUUUAGAAUAUGAGAAACUAAGUUAUAUGUUUAGUUAUAUUUUUACUGAUUUUUAUAGAGUAAAGAUAGAAAUAAAACUUAGUAAAAUCAGUAAAAAUAUUCUUAGACUAAAGUUAAGUAGUUUAAGUUGUGUGCAAGUGGUAGGAGAGCGUUCUAUUUGCGUCGAAGGUAUACCGGUAAGGAGUGCUGGAGCGA